rnacentral:rRNA from 1 species
GGGUUGUGAGGUUAAGCGACUAAGCGUACACGGUGGAUGCCCUGGCAGUCAGAGGCGAUGAAGGACGUGCUAAUCUGCGAAAAGCGUCGGUAAGGUGAUAUGAACCGUUAUAACCGGCGAUGUCCGAAUGGGGAAACCCAGUGCAAUUCGUUGCACUAUCGUUAACUGAAUACAUAGGUUAACGAGGCGAACCGGGGGAACUGAAACAUCUAAGUACCCCGAGGAAAAGAAAUCAACCGAGAUUCCCCCAGUAGCGGCGAGCGAACGGGGAGCAGCCCAGAGUCUGAAUCAGCUUGUGUGUUAGUGGAACGGUCUGGAAAGUCCGACGGUACAGGGUGAUAGUCCCGUACACCAAAAUGCACAGGUUGUGAACUCGAAGAGUAGGGCGGGACACGUGGUAUCCUGUCUGAAUAUGGGGGGACCAUCCUCCAAGGCUAAAUACUCCUGACUGACCGAUAGUGAACCAGUACCGUGAGGGAAAGGCGAAAAGAACCCCGGCGAGGGGAGUGAAAAAGAACCUGAAACCGUGUACGUACAAGCAGUGGGAGCACCUUCGGGUGUGACUGCGUACCUUUUGUAUAAUGGGUCAGCGACUUAUAUUCUGUAGCAAGGUUAACCGUAUAGGGGAGCCGCAGGGAAACCGAGUCUUAACUGGGCGUUAAGUUGCAGGGUAUAGACCCGAAACCCGGUGAUCUAGCCAUGGGCAGGUUGAAGGUUGGGUAACACUAACUGGAGGACCGAACCGACUAAUGUUGAAAAAUUAGCGGAUGACUUGUGGCUGGGGGUGAAAGGCCAAUCAAACCGGGAGAUAGCUGGUUCUCCCCGAAAGCUAUUUAGGUAGCGCCUCGUGAACUCAUCUUCGGGGGUAGAGCACUGUUUCGGCUAGGGGGUCAUCCCGACUUACCAACCCGAUGCAAACUACGAAUACCGAAGAAUGUUAUCACGGGAGACACACGGCGGGUGCUAACGUCCGUCGUGAAGAGGGAAACAACCCAGACCGCCAGCUAAGGUCCCAAAGUCAUGGUUAAGUGGGAAACGAUGUGGGAAGGCACAGACAGCCAGGAUGUUGGCUUAGAAGCAGCCAUCAUUUAAAGAAAGCGUAAUAGCUCACUGGUCGAGUCGGCCUGCGCGGAAGAUGUAACGGGGCUAAACCAUGCACCGAAGCUGCGGCAGCGACACUAUGUGUUGUUGGGUAGGGGAGCGUUCUGUAAGCCUGCGAAGGUGUGCUGUGAGGCAUGCUGGAGGUAUCAGAAGUGCGAAUGCUGACAUAAGUAACGAUAAAGCGGGUGAAAAGCCCGCUCGCCGGAAGACCAAGGGUUCCUGUCCAACGUUAAUCGGGGCAGGGUGAGUCGACCCCUAAGGCGAGGCCGAAAGGCGUAGUCGAUGGGAAACAGGUUAAUAUUCCUGUACUUGGUGUUACUGCGAAGGGGGGACGGAGAAGGCUAUGUUAGCCGGGCGACGGUUGUCCCGGUUUAAGCAUGUAGGCUGGUUGUCCAGGCAAAUCCGGAUAAUCAAGGCUGAGGUGUGAUGACGAGGCACUACGGUGCUGAAGUAACAAAUGCCCUGCUUCCAGGAAAAGCCUCUAAGCAUCAGGUAACAUCAAAUCGUACCCCAAACCGACACAGGUGGUCAGGUAGAGAAUACCAAGGCGCUUGAGAGAACUCGGGUGAAGGAACUAGGCAAAAUGGUGCCGUAACUUCGGGAGAAGGCACGCUGGUGUGUAGGUGAAGUCCCUGCGGAUGGAGCUGAGACCAGUCGAAGAUACCAGCUGGCUGCAACUGUUUAUUAAAAACACAGCACUGUGCAAACACGAAAGUGGACGUAUACGGUGUGACGCCUGCCCGGUGCCGGAAGGUUAAUUGAUGGGGUUAUCCGUAAGGAGAAGCUCUUGAUCGAAGCCCCGGUAAACGGCGGCCGUAACUAUAACGGUCCUAAGGUAGCGAAAUUCCUUGUCGGGUAAGUUCCGACCUGCACGAAUGGCGUAAUGAUGGCCAGGCUGUCUCCACCCGAGACUCAGUGAAAUUGAACUCGCUGUGAAGAUGCAGUGUACCCGCGGCAAGACGGAAAGACCCCGUGAACCUUUACUAUAGCUUGACACUGAACAUUGAGCCUUGAUGUGUAGGAUAGGUGGGAGGCUUUGAAGCGUGGACGCCAGUCUGCGUGGAGCCAACCUUGAAAUACCACCCUUUAAUGUUUGAUGUUCUAACGUUGGCCCCUGACCGGGGUUGCGGACAGUGUCUGGUGGGUAGUUUGACUGGGGCGGUCUCCUCCCAAAGCGUAACGGAGGAGCACGAAGGUUAGCUAAUCCUGGUCGGACAUCAGGAGGUUAGUGCAAUGGCAUAAGCUAGCUUGACUGCGAGCGUGACGGCGCGAGCAGGUGCGAAAGCAGGUCAUAGUGAUCCGGUGGUUCUGAAUGGAAGGGCCAUCGCUCAACGGAUAAAAGGUACUCCGGGGAUAACAGGCUGAUACCGCCCAAGAGUUCAUAUCGACGGCGGUGUUUGGCACCUCGAUGUCGGCUCAUCACAUCCUGGGGCUGAAGUAGGUCCCAAGGGUAUGGCUGUUCGCCAUUUAAAGUGGUACGCGAGCUGGGUUUAGAACGUCGUGAGACAGUUCGGUCCCUAUCUGCCGUGGGCGCUGGAGAAUUGAGGGGGGCUGCUCCUAGUACGAGAGGACCGGAGUGGACGCAUCACUGGUGUUCGGGUUGUCAUGCCAAUGGCACUGCCCGGUAGCUAAAUGCGGAAGAGAUAAGUGCUGAAAGCAUCUAAGCACGAAACUUGCCCCGAGAUGAGUUCUCCCUGAGACUUUAAGUCUCCUGAAGGAACGUUAAAGACGAUGACGUUGAUAGGCCGGGUGUGUAAGCGCAGCGAUGCGUUGAGCUAACCGAUACUAAUGAACCGUGAGGCUUAACCUUACAACGCCGAAG